AGAAACUGACUCUGAUGGGGGCUCAUACUGGGUGCCCUGCCCUGGGCUUGACGAGCUGCCCUGUAUUAAGGCAUCCUACCUGGUGAAUGCUCACCGAGGGAGGCAGUAUCAGCUUCCAGAACUUGGUGGGAAAGGGAAAGCUAUCAACAAAGCUAUGAACAGAGUGUGAGACAGCCCCAGCUACAGGAGCGGCUGGGGAUGAAAAGGGAGAUUUAAAAUGGAGAGGCCAGGGCUGUUUGCAGAGUCCCUUUACCAACUUUAAUCUCCUACCACAGGGGCUCCAAUUUGAAGGUGUUCCCCCCCAUUCCAUGGAGUGGGGACACCAAGGCUCAGAAGGGUCCCAUGUCACAGGCAUGACAGAGAUGGGGUGUAGAGCUGUCUAGUUUUCUUACCAUGGGUACUCUUCCCUGGAAGCCUGGCUAGUGAUUAGCUGCAGGGGGUAAGGGGAAUGACAAGGGUCCUGGAAGAACUAAGAGGAAAGGACCCUACAGGCGAACCUGGAGCACCCGAUGAUCCCGGAGAGCAUCCAUUACUGUCAUUGCCGCUAAAGCUGUAACCGUUACUGUGAAGUGUUCACUCUGUGCCUGUAGCUCAACACUGUAGAAAGAAGGAUCCAGAGAAGUGAGAAGCUGGCCAAGACCUCACAGUGAGUGGCAGGGCUAACGUCCCCAAAGUUUACACAUAGCCACAUGCAUGAACACAAACUCUAUCCUGCUGCCGGCUCCACACCCACACCCAACACCGCUGGCAUCAUCCAAUUCCCAAGACAAUGGCUGGGAAGAAAGGCGCUGUUCCCGUGCCUUUAAAACACUGAGACUAUGUGUUCAUAGCCAAGACAAACCAGUCACAUCCUUGCUCAUGCCCUGUCAGAAGCCAUCCCCUCCCUCCCUAUAAGCCUGGCUCCCCUCUGUCACUGUGCCCAGAGGGUGGAAUGGGGUGAGGCUUCCAUACAGCGGCUCCACCAAGCAGAACCUGAGUUCAAGGAAGUGGACAGAGGAAGUGGGCCUUAGAGGAGGGAGGUUGUGUGUGGGUAAGCAGUGUGGUAGGCAUAAAGAAAGUCCAGGGACUUUCCCUUCCCCAUACCCCUCCCCUAGACAACCAAGUUCCCCAAGCCACCGCGGGCUGAGAGCUCUGGUUAGGUCUCACUCUUCCCAAUUGCCUUCUGUGUGUCUCCCAUCUUGUCAGCAAUCUAUCCAUUCUCUCCGCCUCCGGGAAUCUUUUACUACACACAGCUCCCAUGGCCUUUCCACCCACUACGUCCUUGCGGGUGCAUGGCAUUGGGGCAGAGUUUGAUACGGAUGCUGUCACAGGUUUCUCUGGCACUGGGACUGGGCACCUUAGCUGCCCUCCCAGAAGUGUCUCUGGUUCUGUUCCCCCUCUCUCUAGUUCUGCUCCCCCUCCUGCUAGGCAGCUGCCAGAUACCCCUGUCUCACAGCCUCUCCUCUAUCUGCCCCAUAGGCCAGGUCUUACCACCUGACUUGGCUGGGGGCAGGUGGGGAGGGAAGCCUGUCUCUUUACCCAAGGGAGGUGGAACCAUGUUGUUUUUGUUUGAAGACCAGGUUUCCACUGCACAGUGAUUGUUUUAAAUACCCAGGAGCAAACUCCCUCAGCUUUCCAUGAAAACCACACCCAAGCCCACUUGGGACUGCGGUGAACUGCCUUGCCACCUGGAGGUACACAACCAACCACAAGACGCUGUCCCAUGGGCCCCAGAAGGGUGCCCGGCUGAGGAAGCUAUCUGGCUACGUCGGAUGACAUGCUGGAGAGGGUGACCCUCUGGAGAGGGUACCAGGUUUAAGGGUGGGGGUGGGGUGCUCCCCGUCUGCUCCGGCCGCGUCACCGCGGUCUCCGUACACCUCCCCCGCGCCGCUGACGUGGCCGCCGCGCGUCAAGCAAUCCUCCGGGAAGCGCUGUCCUUAUUUGGGCGCAGACCCGGUGCGGCUGCGGGCGGGGAAAUUGCGUGGCCGUAGCCGCCCUGCGCAGCAGCCCCGCCCUCCUGUCCCAGCCAGGGCGGGGCGGGCGCACAGCCAGUCACGUCUUGAGAAGGGACGCUGGCUCCGUGUCACCUCUGGGCCGGGAGGGGGGCCAGACAGCCUUCCCAGGCGUUAUCUCCCAUCUCCAGGGUUUCUCAUGAAAUGUCAAAGCUAGGUAGAAACACAGAUGGCCAGUCACAGAUGCCUUAAUCCUUUGAGACCGGAAGGCUGGGACGCCAGGGCCUUUGUGAGCUGGUGCAAAGGGAAGGCUUGCACUUAAACUAAUCCUAAUGCCAACAGUUCUCAGUUUCCUCCAAAGAGCAGAGAGCAUAUCAGCCAACGUCGGUGUUUGUGAGGAUAUCUAUCAAUGCACCACCCGCCUUGGUGUGAAAAGUUUCCUAAACCGUGCUUGCUGUUCAGUUUUCCAGUGGUCACUGGGCGAUGGGGAGGAACCUGGCCUGGUAUCCAUCUUAAGGUAAAGGCCAGUGUUGACACCUACCUACCAAUCCGUGUGUCUGGGGCCUCAUCCAGCUGCACUGAGAAUGACCUCUGACUUCACUGAAGGCUUAAACUUUGUCAACAAUGUCAUCUGGUGUUGGCCUCCUUUUUUCUCAGGGCUGUUUGUUUGGGGCUGGUGACUACUCUUCCAGGAUAGCCAGGAAGAGGGUGGGAACUGUCAAAGUCUCCAGGCAGUCAUGGUGAGCAACAGGCACUGUGUACCACACACCUGUGUUUCGCUGCUAACAAGUCCUGUUUCCCCCUUUCCAAUGUAACUCCGACUCCUAACCUAAGCCCUAGAAAGCCUUUCCCUGUAGGACUCCAGCUGCAGUUGACGCCCUCAUUCCAACACUCUUGCUGGGUCUGAACUGUGUCCAUUCUAGGCUUUGCUGCCCUUGUUCUCUGUCUGCUGGUGGCUGAGCACUAUGCCCUGGGUGGCUCUCCCUUCUUGGGAAUUUGGCGUGUCCAGAGGGCAGGAGACCUUUCUUUAAAAAAUUAGAGCCCUCCACCUCUGGCCAUGUUUAGAGGGUGAUUACAUCCUCUUCCCCUGAUCUCUUUAGUCUUAAAACAAGGACAAAGGUGCUCAGAUCCCACGGACAAAUGAUGGAUUUAUGAUCCAACCACAAAUGGCAGUGAGUCACAGGGCCAGGGAGAGCGGGCAGAUCUCAGUCUCCUCCCCACACAAAGGAUCUGUUGGGUGGCCAAGACAAAGAUGGUACAGUGGACAGACAGGCACCUCCCUUUGGAGGUGGCUGUCCUCAUUUAAAGAAAGUCCCUUGAGGAUGACACCUAAUCGCAUGUAUUUAAAGGGUGAACUAUGUGUCAGGUCAGCUGUUCCUAAGUACUGGGUGAGGUUGGCCUAAUAUCUCCUUCUAAACUGGAUAGGAGAGUCCAGGACUCCUCAGUUCCCCCUGAGAGUGGGGCAGAGGGCAAGACCUGUUGCCUCUGGCUGGAGCCCCUGUUUGCCUCAAGUCAGCUCAGUUUAGGGGGGGGGUGCUGCUACAGUUCUGGAAGGCUUCACACCGUGCCGAGGCAGAGCUCAGCCCUGUUCUUUGCUUCUACCUAUGAACACAGAAGCCCUUGCCCCCUUCGAGACAGGGUCUCACUAGCCUCCCUUCAAACUCUUGAUCCUCCCACCUCUGCUGUGAUUCCAGGAGAGAGGCCUUCGACCUGCAGCACCUCAAAACAUAGCUACUUGGCUGAAGGUGGAGCAGUAGCAUGGUUGAUUCAGCAAGGAACCCAGGACCACCAGCCUAGGAAUGG